rnacentral:rRNA from 1 species
CGCUGGCGGCGUGCCUAAUACAUGCAAGUCGAACGGUCUUUUCUAUGGAAGCUUGCUUCCACUGAGAAGAUAGUGGCGAACGGGUGAGUAACACGUGGGUAACCUGCCCAUAAGAGGGGGAUAACAUCCGGAAACGGGUGCUAAUACCGCAUAGUUUUCUUGAUCGCAUGAUCGGGAAAGGAAAGACGGCCUUUGUGCUGUCGCUUAUGGAUGGACCCGCGGCGUAUUAGUUAGUUGGUGAGGUAACGGCUCACCAAGACGAUGAAACGUAGCCGACCUGAGAGGGUGAUCGGCCACAUUGGGACUGAGACACGGCCCAAACUCCUACGGGAGGCAGCAGUAGGGAAUCUUCCGCAAUGGACGAAAGUCUGACGGAGCAACGCCGCGUGAGUGAAGAAGGUUUUCGGAUCGUAAAACUCUGUUGUCAGAGAAGAACAAGUUGGAGAGUAACUGCUCCAGCCUUGACGGUAUCUGACCAGAAAGCCACGGCUAACUACGUGCCAGCAGCCGCGGUAAUACGUAGGUGGCAAGCGUUGUCCGGAUUUAUUGGGCGUAAAGCGAGCGCAGGCGGUUCCUUAAGUCUGAUGUGAAAGCCCACGGCUCAACCGUGGAAGGUCAUCGGAAACUGGGGAACUUGAGUGCAGAAGAGGAGAGUGGAAUUCCAUGUGUAGCGGUGAAAUGCGUAGAUAUAUGGAGGAACACCAGUGGCGAAGGCGACUCUCUGGUCUGUAACUGACGCUGAGGCUCGAAAGCGUGGGGAGCAAACAGGAUUAGAUACCCUGGUAGUCC